rnacentral:rRNA from 1 species
AUGUGAAUGCAGAAUUCAGUGAAUCAUCGAAUCUUUGAACGCACAUUGCGCCCUUUGGCAUUCCUCAGGGCAUGCCUGUUCGAGCGUCACU